UAUAAGAGUUUGAGGUUUGUUUUUUUCCUCCUGAUUUGAACCCUGAUUUGAGUGGAAUUGUUCCUUGGAUAGAGCUGAACCUUUCAGUCUCAUCUUAACCAAAUUGAUGGCUUCAUUGGUACUUUUUUUUCCACUUAGAUUGAAGGUGCUGAAUUGUGGUCAUGAAGUCCUGUGUGCUAGAUUUAAUUAUAUCCUAAAAUGAGAAGAUACACCACCAUCAAGAUGAUUUUCAAAGAAAUUUAAAAGAAAAAUAAACAAUGUGUCCUGAAGUGUCCCACGACCGAGCAAGCACAAUUAACCUGGUGGACUAAGGAUGACCAGCCUGCGACAUGAGCUGCUCUGCAACCCCUGCAUCUCUCUUCUACUAGAACCUCCAUCCUCCAGAGCAUCCCAAAAGAAGCCAUGAAAGGCCUCUUCAUACAUGGCUCGGCUGGCAAAGGUUCAGAUCAACUCUCAGUAAGAAUGUCACUGCUCUGAGCUAAGAAAUUUCUGCAUGCAGGUCAGAAGCCUCUUUUCUCUACCCAUGCAUCUGUUUUGUGAUGUUUUUGUUAACAUCAGCACAGUUUCACAGAACUUUGAUGAUCCUGAUUACAUUACUCAGCACAGAAGAUAAGCAGCAGCACAUUCGGGUUAGUCCCAUCUACCAUUUCCUUUUCUUUUGACUUUGAAAAAUGUGACUAGAAACGAAAGAAAACUCCACAGAAUAUUAACCUUGCAGUCAUAGGAACACAUUUUGAUCAAAAAGUGGAAAACUUUGAAUAAAAGAUGCCACAUGGCAUUCUGAGAUAUAGAAGCAGCCUGUAUCCAUGCUUGGUAUAAGGGACAAAACUCCCCACCAGACUUCCAGCUCCUGGCAUCCUACUCUACUGCACCAGGAGAGGUCUGACCCCACUGGCACUAGAAAUGCAAGAGGUUCAAGCUGCUGUUCCUACAAAGCACCACACUUGCAUUUCUAAACAUUUAGAGUACAGCCUAUGAUUUAAGUUUUAUGGAAAGAGGUCACUUUUUAAAUAGAGUGAACUUGGCUUAUUAAAAAAGCUGAUCUUCCAUUGAUUUUGAUAGGUAAAUUUUUUGAUGGGCAACAGUCGUAGCUACCUGUGGAGAGUAAACAAACAUUGAAAUUUUGUAAGACUGAAGAUGCUGAUGCUGCAAUUUAAACAAUGUUCCAAAGAGUAUAAUCACAAAGCACAUAGCAACACUUCUCCACUAUCUUAUCUUUAAGGAUUUCUUAGCAGCUGUUUCAAUGGAUCUGUGCUGGUGAACAGCACAAUACUAUGUCUCUUAGUGAAAAGAGUUUGUUGUUUGACAGGGGAGUUAUUCCGUAAAGUGUGUUUUGAAUGUAAAACAUAAUAAUCAGAUUUUACUUUAUUAUUGUGGAAUAUUAGAUUUUUCUUGGACUGGGAUAAAGUUCUCAAUCUAGACAUACAAAUUGAAUUUAACUUGGUAGCUAAACACAGAGAAAAUAUCCAAUACCAAAUCCUGUUUGAACCUACAGCUUUGUAAAGCCUCAGUCAUGAGGCUUUAUUUCAGAGUAGACUUUGGCUGAGAUGGUGGGCUUCUUUAGUGGGGAAAGAAGUUUCUGGCUAUUUUUUUUGUUAAAAGAAUCACAAGGUGGAAUUGUACAGUAACAAGCAGAUUAAUCAAGUAAAAUAAUUUAUCUUGCUGUGCAAAGCAUUUACUGACUUAUUCACCCCUUCUCUUACUCCCAUGAUCUAUGAAGUAAAUUGAAGGAGACAAUAACCAUAUUAACAAAUAAAAGAUAUAGGGAAUGG